CGGCAUGACCGCGAGGAUCAUUGGAGAAGAGGUAUAGGAACGUUAAAUACAUUCACGCUAGUGUGCGUAAGUGUAAAACUCACACACACCACCGUAAGGAUUUGUAUAUAGGUACCUAAAGGGACGCAAUUGUAAUUCAAAUAAGGCGAGAGUAAAUUUUUUUUAUUUUUUUUUUUUCCUCUAGGAUUUUCAUAUAUGGCACGUAAGUAGAGAUUUAUUUAUUUAUAUAACAAACAUUUUUUCUUACUUUUACAAAUGUAAUUUAUUUUCUUAUUUCCUUCUGAUUUAUCUUUAAACUUAUGCCGAAUUUUAUGUUAUUAAUCAAUAAAAAUAUUAUAUUAAAAAUUUUUAUUGUAAUAAAUUAUUAUAAUUAAUUAUAAUUAAAAAUAAUAGGUAUCAUUUCUAAAUAUUAAUUCAAUGUAUUAUUACACUGAUUUAUUUAAAUUUUAAUAAAUUUUAACAAUUUGGACAAGUUUUUAAAUUCGAAAAAAAACAAAUAUGAAUUUGUUUAAAAUUUCUUUCAAAUUUCAUUUGGAAUUUUUUUUUCCAAAUUAUAUAUAAUUAAAUAAUUGAAAUAAAUUUUUUUCUCAAUUAUUUAAUUAAAUGAGAAAUAUAUCAACAUUUUACAUAUAUAUAAGUAAAAGUCAUAAAAACAUAUUUCAUAUAUAAACUGUGUAAAUUAAAUUCGUAACGAAAACAAGUUCAAAGCACUCGAAAGGACUCGGGGUAAAUAAGACAAAGUGAGAAUAUGGAAAAAAAAAGUUGAAAGGAUUUCAAAGCAAUCAAAUUCCCGGUACGUCAGACUGGAAACGCAUUUGAACUUUAAAAAUCUUUAAAUCUAAAAUGAAAAUAAAGUAUGAUAGAAAGAGAGUAAGAAGGAGAGUGAAAAAUACUUUUUUGAAAUUCAUAUUCUUUAAAACAUCAAAAAACUUUUCUGUUUUUGUUUUUCUAUUCGAGAAAAAAGAAAUUUUUCAAGUUAAAGAUUCUCAUAAGACAUAAUCAGUAACAUUUUUUAUCGGUGAGAAUAAAAUAAAUUCAGUCUCUUAUCAAGGAUGGAGUUUUUUUUUUUUCUUUAUUUUAGUAAAUCUUAACAAUUUAUCAACAAUCUAAAAAUAGCUUAGUGUUGAGAGUUAUUUCCUCGUGUGGACCAUUUUCCAAUAAUAAUCUUUCGAUAAAGAACGUCAUAUCGAGGGAAAUUGAGCGACGCGCGGACGGCAAGGAAAAACAAAAACAAAAAAAAAAUCGGUAAAAUAAUUCCUAACGGUGGUGUGAAAGAAAGGGAAGGGACGGUGAUCUGAGGCUGGCUCGGUUUAUGGACAAAAACUGACUUCACUCGUAUUCAAGUUAUACAAAAAGCGUUAAAUCUCAUACAAUAAACAAUUUUAACAGUAGCAUAGUAGAAAAGUUGUUUUUUUAUUUAAAAAAAUUUUUCAGUUUUCAUUUCGUUGCUAUUAUAAUAUUUUAUAAAGAAAAUGAAAUAACGAAAUAAAAAUUUGUUUUAAAUUAAAUUAUUGAUAAAUAAAAAAGAAUAAAAUUAAAUUAAAAAUUGAAAAAUGAAAACCAAAAUAAUAUUCCGUCAUUAAUGAAAUGAAAAUAUAAAUAAACAAACUCAAAAAAUAAAAUAGCAGUGUCUUUUAUUCAGAAAUGAAAAAAGAACCAAAUACUUAAUUUUCGCUAACAAUACAACAGGCGGACAUUUGUUAUGACUUGUUAAAAAAAAUCAUCUUGUAUAAAUAUAAAUCUAAAAUAUGUAUCUAUAUAUAUAUAUAAAUAUUAGAGAAAAACAAUCAGUAAAAUAAUAUUUUUAAACCGUAGAUAUAUAUAUAUGAAACUUGUCUACAUACAAAUAGAUCGUAAUUUUUUUUUUCGUUUCAUUGUCAGCAUUUUAAAAUUAAUCGCUCAUAAUGCCAAUGUACAAUAUAAUAAUUAUCGUUAAUAUAACAAAAGUCAAAUUGACAAUGACAAACAAUGUAGUGUUUUAAAAAUAAAAAAAUCAGCGUCUCACGUAUAUAUGCGAAAGUAACAACAUUUAAAAUUGAUAUACAUUUUCAUAAUAAUAUUGAAAAACUAUUACAAUUAAAUAUCGAUCAAAAAUGAUCCUAUAUAUAUAUGAUAAGGAAUUUAUUUUAUUUAUAUCAACAAAAUAAAUUCAUAUCUUUCAAAAAGAAAACUUAAAAAAAUUCACAAUUCAUCUUAUACAAUUUCUUUCUCUAAUUCUUAAAUUAACAACUUAAUAAAAUAAAUUUUGAUUUCUUUUUAAAUCAGUCAGAAAAUUGUGAAUUUAUGAUAAAAAAAAAAUCGCAUCAUUAAAAAGUGUUGCGACAGUCUCUGUCAAAAUUUUAUUUCAUUAAUAAAAGUACUGAAAAAUGAAAAUAUUUUAAUUUUAAAAUAUUUCAAUUUUUCUUUUAUAUAGUUUUAAAAAAAAAGUUUUUAAAAAAUUUUAUACAUUUAAACAUUUUUGUGAACAGAUAAUAAAAAAUAUUUUUUUAUUAUAUUGAAAAUUAAAUUAUGCUGAAAAUUUAUUAUGCAAUUUUUGACGUAGACUGUUUAUAAGCCAAAUCAUUCACAAAAACGAAAACAAAAAAUAAUAACAUUGUUACUAGUGAUGAUAUAAUUUGUCAAUAUUGACGAUAAAUACUAAAAAUUCAACAAGCUGCCAUUUUAAAGCCAUUUUUUGGACGCAUUGAUAAAUCGAAUUAAUUACAAUUAUAAUAAUACAGCCAAUCUUAUAAUUGGCUCUCUUUUCUUUAUAUAAUAAAAAUUAGGAGAUUAAUUUUUUUUUAAUUACACAAAUGCUUUUCAUACAAUCGAACAAUUGAGAUAAAUAGAUGUUCCAUAAAAUCAAUUAGUCAAAAUUUCCAGUGAAUUGGAUUUUUUUAAUGUCAAAUUUUUAUUUAGUCGAUUUACUAAAAAUGUAGACUAACAGAUUUCUUUGGAAAAAUAUUAAUGCAUCCCAAAUAAAAUUAAAAUUGAAUAGAUAAAGCACGUGAGUCGUUAAAAAUUUCUAUUAAAAAAGAAAUUGCAAAUUAAAAGAAGUCGAGAGACGAAAAAAAAUACGUGAAAUCA